rnacentral:rRNA from 1 species
CGAUUACGCGAAGAACCUUACCAACCCUUGACAUCCUCGGACCGGCCCAGAGAUGGGUCUUUCACUUCGGUGACCGAGUGACAGGUGCUGCAUGGCUGUCGUCAGCUCGUGUCGUGAGAUGUUCGGUUAAGUCCGGCAACGAGCGCAACCCACAUCCUUAGUUGCCAGCAGUUCGGCUGGGCACUCUAAGGAAACUGCCCGUGAUAAGCGGGAGGAAGGUGUGGAUGACGUCAAGUCCUCAUGGCCCUUACGGGUUGGGCUACACACGUGCUACAAUGGCAGUGACAAUGGGUUAAUCCCAAAAAACUGUCUCAGUUCGGAUUGGGGUCUGCAACUCGACCCCAUGAAGUCGGAAUCGCUAGUAAUCGCGUAACAGCAUGACGCGGUGAAUACGUUCCACGGGUCUGUACACACCG